GGGGAAUAUUGCACAAUGGGGGAAACCCUGAUGCAGCGACGCCGCGUGGAGGAUGACGGCCUUCGGGUUGUAAACUCCUUUUGUCAGGGACAAUGGUGAUGGUACCUGACGAAUAAGCCACGGCUAACUCUGUGCCAGCAGCCGCGGUAAGACAGAGGUGGCGAGCGUUGUUCGGAAUUACUGGGCUUAAAGGGCGCGUAGGCGGUGGUGUAAGUCUGGGGUGGAAUGCUACAGCUCAACUGUAGAGCUGCCUUGGAAACUGCAUUACUUGAGUCGGUGAGGGGAAGGCGGAAUUCCUGGUGUAGCGGUGAAAUGCGUAGAUAUCAGGAGGAAGGUCUGUGGCGAAGGCGGCCUUCUGGCACUUGACUGACGCUGAGGCGCGAAAGCGUGGGGAGCAAAC
rnacentral:rRNA from 1 species